rnacentral:lncRNA from 1 species
UUGAGCAGAUCUGUCGUCUCUUCUGUCGUGUGUGGUGGUUUUUCGUGCCAGUCGGCAGCCAUUCUUGUUAACUCUCACAUUUGGUGGCUUGGGAGAAGAAAGUACGAAUAAACAACGAAGGAAAACCGAAGAGAUCCAAGCACUAAGGCGUGCACGAACUUAAUAGAAAACAGGUGGUGGUGCAUGGAGCGCCAAAUCCCAAGCACGCACUCGACCAGACGCAACUUCGUCCUCCACCUGUCGGAAUACAUCUGGCGCACCUGUGUCGUUGGAGACAAUCGAUCGUUCGAGUAUCUGAUACAUUCGAUUGCCCGACUAUACCCUUUGUAGCUCUCCAAGCAAGUUGAUGAAAACCAGGGGGAUAAAUAGUGAGUGCCCACUGUCAAGGUAAAA